ACUUUAGCAGGUUAGAGGUUAGGGUAGGACAUUCCAAAACGGAAAAUGAACUUCUAGCUUUUUAGGGACGGAAAAAUAACGCAGCAAUCGGGGAAAAGGAGUAGUAUUUUGUUUUUAAAAUUAUUUUUGUGUCUUUGUCCUUUUAAUUAUCGACCACAAUCACCCACCCGAGUAAGCUACUGCCACACUCUCCCAUGCAACCCUCGGGACUGCGGCCGCUUUUCGUGGACCGCAGUGUUUUAGGGUUUAGCUAUAAAUCUAGUAUUCGAUGCUGAAACCCGCAGUGUGUUUGUUGAACCACCCCAGUUAGUCUAGUAGUACGGUAGUACUAGUUCCACUCCCCCCCGAGUGCAUCGUGGAAAAUUGGAGGACAAGGGGGGAGAUUUAAACUAGGAUUUCUAACUAAAAGGUGUCAGCUCCGGCAGCUGCAUGCACGUUUUAUGGGAUGACCAAUGCAGCGAUACAAACCAAAAUACAACCAGGGCAAGAUAAUAUCGCGUUGCAAAUGCUUACAUCUAAUGAGCAUUAAGCGUGCGUGUGUGUGUAUGUGUGUGUGAGAAAGAGAGAGCGAUAGAAAGUGAGCAAUGGUACGACCAGGAAGAUUACACCAUGUCGGCCCUUAUCAUACUCUCAUUGAUGCUUCAAGAAACAGUAAAAACAACCACGAUACACAAUCUCAAAACGCAGUCAUGAUACACUACUCUCGCCAACAUCAAACACAAACCGACAUCCAAACAUACGUAUUAUUAUUAUAUUAGUAGCCCCCUAGUACACCAAAUAAUUUAGGAGAAAAGCAGCUAGUAAUUUAAAGAGGGUGUAAUAUCUCAUCACAAAACAAAAUACGUUGAAACUUACCUUAAAACCACGUAUGAUAGCAAGCAGGGCGCGCGAGAGCCAGGGCUGAUAGGGGUACCGAUAGGAGGAGCGGGCAAGUAAAAGGACAGUAGGUUAGGCAGCAGCAAUUUUACUAAUCAGAUGAGUUGGAUUGCGAACGGCGUCGCGUCUUCAAAGUGGUUUGUAAGUGGUAAACGGCGACCCGAAAGAGCGGAACACAUUACGUUUACAUAUCGAACACCCCGUGCACUGAUCGCGGCGAGAAGAGCGGCCUGCGGAGCCCUGGAGAGGAAGAACGGAACAAUGAAGCGCUCCCCCCAUCCCCCCCGAUACGUCAUGCGUGGAGAAGGAGAAGGAGAAGGAAGAGGACGGACAGGAAGCGCGGAUAUAGUGAGAUAAAACCUAGGACACAUUUUUGAAAUCAGACUCAAAGCUCUUCCGACUGACGUACGGGUGUGUACGGUGUGUACGGUGCACAACAACCGUUUGUUCGCGUGCCCCAGCAUAUGGAACCCGGAUUCACUGUAUAGGUGUUCUUCAGUUAGUUAGAAAACGCUACAACCGCAAUCGCAUGCAUCCGCAAACCUCCUACUGUCUCCCAUCCGUUGGUUGGUAGAUCCUGCGGACGAUUGGAACGUGCAGACGCAAGCAAGCAAACAAACAAAACAACAAACAACGGACGAUCCUGUCUCUCAAGAAGCCUUAGUUGAGUAAUGCGUAACUACUAAUAUUCUAAUUUCCCCGUGCUGCUUGCCAUGAAGCGAAGGCAAGCAAUAAAAAAAAGACCUGAAUAUCAACUAGCAGCUGAACUAGUAACUCUAUGUGAAAAUAAUGCGAAGCAAACACGGCAUCAUAUAUAAGAAGUUUGAAGUGAAAAAAAAACAAACACACACAGCCCUACACUUGCGCAGAAUCAUACGCGAAUGCGCAUGUGGCGGUUUUGAAAAUAGUAGGAAAAAAGUCUAAAUAUAAAUUAAUCGAGACAUAUGAUCUAAUAACUGAUGUAAAAGCAAACAGACACACAACUGACAUAAAAUGAAUCGUGCAAUGAUUUGGAAGAGGUAUUAUUAUUAUGUCUUUUGUUGUGUGAUUCCUUCCGAUAAAUCGUGCUAUAAGUAGAGAAAAAGGCCGAGCGAAAUAGUAAAGCAAGCACACAAAGAAUAAAUAAAGAAAAAAAUCCCGAAGGUAUUUAGAGAAUGAAGCAAAGUGAAUCAUUAAACAAAUAAGUUAUUUUGAAAAGUCGUGCAUCGUAAGUCAAAAGUACAUCCCCUUGACAAAUGAAAUGAGAACAAAAUUUAAAAACAAAAAGAAACAACCUAAACCACAAGUACACUUCUUCAAAAAAAAACCUAAAACACAUACACACAUACGUUCGCACUGGAUAAAUCGUUAUCUAAGCUUAUUGUCGGUAUAAAGCUAUACACAC